AGAGUUUGAUCCUGGCUCAGAUUGAACGCUGGCGGAAUGCUUUACACAUGCAAGUCGAGCGGCAGCGCGGGGCAACCUGGCGGCGAGCGGCGAACGGGUGAGUAAUACAUCGGAACGUGCCCAGACGUGGGGGAUAACUACUCGAAAGAGUGGCUAAUACCGCAUACGAUCUGAGGAUGAAAGCGGGGGAUCGCAAGACCUCGCGCGUCUGGAGCGGCCGAUGGCAGAUUAGGUAGUUGGUGAGGUAAAGGCUUACCAAGCCUGCGAUCUGUAGCUGGUCUGAGAGGAUGAUCAGCCACACUGGGACUGAGACACGGCCCAGACUCCUACGGGAGGCAGCAGUGGGGAAUUUUGGACAAUGGGCGAAAGCCUGAUCCAGCCAUUCCGCGUGCAGGAUGAAGGCCCUCGGGUUGUAAACUGCUUUUGUACGGAACGAAAAAGCUCCGGCUAAUACCUGGAGUCCAUGACGGUACCGUAAGAAUAAGCACCGGCUAACUACGUGCCAGCAGCCGCGGUAAUACGUAGGGUGCAAGCGUUAAUCGGAAUUACUGAGCGUAAAGCGUGCGCAGGCGGUUUUGUAAGACAGAGGUGAAAUCCCCGGGCUCAACCUGGGAACUGCCUUUGUGACUGCAAGGCUGGAGUGCGGCAGAGGGGGAUGGAAUUCCGCGUGUAGCAGUGAAAUGCGUAGAUAUGCGGAGGAACACCGAUG
rnacentral:rRNA from 1 species